ACGCUCGACACCUACGGGAGACAGCAGUGAGGGAUAUUGGUCAAUGGGGGAAACCCUGAACCAGCAACGCCGCGUGAGGGAUGACGGUCUUCGGAUUGUAAACCUCUGUCCUCUGUGAAGAUAAUGACGGUAGCAGAGGAGGAAGCUCCGGCUAACUACGUGCCAGCAGCCGCGGUAAUCUGAGCGGGCUGGCAAGGC
rnacentral:rRNA from 1 species